CCCCGCCAGAAGAUGGGUUCACGCUCACCGCUUUCCCGCCAAGCCGCGACACACGCCAGUAACAGAUAACACAUAUAGGCUGCCCUCCAAUUAGGGAGGGUGGGCUUCAACUGAAAAACAUGCGACGCGGCACAGAUGCAAUACUUAAUCAGAGGCAGCCACUGACCAACUGACGGAGUUGCAUUUCAAUACCAGAUCAAUGGGCUUAAAUUCAAGGACACUGAGGGAGACAGAAGCGAUUAAAGGAGAUAUGAUAAGAGGAGAUACGAGAGCCGUUCGUCAUCGAAUGGAUGAAAACUACACUAUCGACAAGAUGACCAGCAUGGCGUCAACAUGGUUGCUGCGACAAAGACACUAAUAUGAAAAUUAUAUUUGAGUGUUCAUCAAGUAAAUAAAUAUAUUAGGACAUCUUCUUCAAUUUUACAUUUGAAACAGAUUUUGAUCAUGUAAAUAUUUUCAAAUAGUUUACUGCACUGUAAAGUAUUGUAUAAUCUAUGUAUUUCAUUCGUUUCAAAUAUUCAAAAAUCCCAUCAUAUUAUUUAACAAAAUAAAAACGAAUGACGAGAUUGUAAGACAAGCAAGUCACAGAACUUAAAACAAUGACAAAUUUAAAUCGACCAACUUAGUGAAGAAAAUUAAAAUGGAUUUAAGUCAAGUUAAAUGUUUCAAAUUGUCGUUCAAACUGUAUCAUACUAUUAUUUAUAGGUAAUUAGAGCUAAAAAAUAUUAAAAAGAAAAAGGUUGUGUAAUCGAGGCAGGUUUGUAAAAUAAAACUUACUCACUUGGCAGUAUUAUAACUUCAUUAUGUUUCCAACAUUACCUGUAACAUAACAAUUGUAUGUUAGAAUAUAUUGGAUAUGUAAUGUUACAGUAAUAAUAAACACUGUACAAAUAACGAUAUGUAAAUUGUAAAACAAAUAUCAGGA